CCCCUGUUUUUACAAAAACAUCGCUCCUUGUGAUAGAAUAAAUAGGGAGUCGGACCUGCCCAGUGAAUUUUUAACGGCCGCGGUACUCUGACCGUGCAAAGGUAGCAUAAUAAUUUGCCUUAUAAUUGAAGGCUAGAAUGAAUGGUUUAACGAGAAUAAAGCUGUCUCUUUACAAUUUUAUAAAAAUUUAUCUACAGAUGAAAAAGUCUGUAUAUUAUUAAAAGACAAGAAGACCCUAUCGAGCUUUAAAGAAUUUAGUAGGCUAGAAACUUAUUGUUGAUUUAAGAUAGUUGGCUAUUAAGAAUUUUAGUUGGGGCGACUGAGGAACAAAUAAAGCUUCCUUAUUUAUUAUUGCUUUACCCAUCAGUUAUGAUCCAGAAAUUUCUGAUUAACAAAAUUAGUUACCGUAGGGAUAACAGCAUUAUCUUUUUUGAGAGCUCUUAUCGAAAAAAAGGUUUGUGACCUCGAUGUUGGACCAGAAUGUCCUAAAGAUGCAGCAGUCUUUAAGGGUUGGUCUGUUCGACCAUUAAUAUUCUACGUGAUCUGAGUCCA
rnacentral:rRNA from 1 species